ACGUAUCAGAAGUGCGAAUGCUGACAUGAGUAACGAUAAUGGGGGUGAAAAACCCCCACGCCGGAAGACCAAGGGUUCCUGCGCAACGCUAAUCGGCGCAGGGUGAGUCGGCCCCUAAGGCGAGGCAGAAAUGCGUAGCUGAUGGGAAACAGGUUAAUAUUCCUGUACUUCUUAUAACUGCGAUGGAGAGACGGAGAAGGCUAUGCCUACCGGGCGUUGGUUGUCCCGGGGAAAGGCUGUAGGCUGAGGUGUUAGGCAAAUCCGGCACCUUAAGGCUGAGAGUCGAGACCACUGGUCCUUUGUGACCGGGAAGUGGUUGAUGCCAUGCUUCCAGGAAAAUCUUCUAAGCUUCAGGUUAUAAGGAACCGUA
rnacentral:rRNA from 1 species